rnacentral:rRNA from 1 species
GACAGAGGGUGCAAACGUUGUUCGGAAUUACUGGGCGUAAAGCGCGUGUAGGCGGCCCUGCAAGUCGGAUGUGAAAUCCCACGGCUCAACCGUGGAAGUGCAUUCGAAACUGCAGGGCUAGAGUCCUGGAGAGGAAGGUGGAAUGCUUGGUGUAGAGGUGAAAUUCGUAGAUAUCGGGAGGAACACCAGUGGCGAAGGCGGCGACCUGGACAGAUAUUGACGCUGAGGUGCGAAAGCGUGGGGAGCAAACAGG